AAGCUACUCCCUCCGACCCAUAUUACUUGUCGAAAUAUUACAUAUAUCUAGAUGCCUUUUAAACAUAGAUACAUCCAUAUUUGGGCAAAUUUGAGACAAGUAAUAUGUGUCGGAGGGAGUAGGUU
rfam:Brachypodium distachyon strain Bd21 chromosome 2, whole genome shotgun sequence.